rnacentral:rRNA from 1 species
AAUAGAUACCCAGGUAGUCCAUGCCGUAAACGUUGGGAACUAGAUGUAGGGCCUGUUCCACGGGUUCUGUGUCGUAGCUAACGCAUUAAGUUCCCCGCCUGGGGAGUACGGCCGCAAGGCUAAAACUCAAAGGAAUUGACGGGGGCCCGCACAAGCGGCGGAGCAUGCGGAUUAAUUCGAUGCAACGCGAAGAACCUUACCAAGGCUUGACAUAUAGAAGAACACUGCAGAGAUGCAGGACUCUUUGGACACUUCUAUACAGGUGGUGCAUGGUUGUCGUCAGCUCGUGUCGUGAGAUGUUCGGUUAAGUCCGGCAACGAGCGCAACCCUCGUCCUAUGUUGCCAGCACGUAAUGGUGGGAACUCAUGGGAUACUGCCGUGGUCAACACGGAGGAAGGUGGGGAUGACGUCAAAUCAUCAUGCCCCUUAUGUCUUGGGCUUCACGCAUGCUACAAUGGCCGGUACAAAGAGCUGCGAUACCGCGAGGUGGAGCGAAUCUCAAAAAGCCGGUCUCAGUUCGGU